GUGACUCCUACGGGAGGCAGCAGUGGGGAAUAUUGCACAAUGGGGGAAACCCUGAUGCAGCCAUGCCGCGUGUGUGAAGAAGGCCUUCGGGUUGUAAAGCACUUUCAGUAGGGAGGAAGGUAGUGUAGUUAAUACCUGCAUUAUUUGACGUUACCUACAGAAGAAGCACCGGCUAACUCCGUGCCAGCAGCCGCGGUAAUACGGAGGGUGCGAGCGUUAAUCGGAAUUACUGGGCGUAAAGCGCAUGCAGGCGGCCUGUUAAGUCAGAUGUGAAAGCCCGGGGCUUAACCUACGGAAUUGCUAUUUAGUAAACUGGCAGGCUAGAGUCUUGUAGAGGGGGUAGGAAUUUCAGGUGUAGCGGUGAAAUGCGUAGAGAUCUGAAGGAAUACCAGUGGCGAAGGCGGCCCCCUGGACAAAGACUGACGCUCAGAUGCGAAAGCGUGGGGAGCAAACAGGAUUAGAUACCCUGGUAG
rnacentral:rRNA from 1 species